CCGCGCGGGGGGCGAGUAAGCCAGCGGCAGGACCAGCGGGCGGGGGCCCACGAGUCAGAGCCCAGCACAACAACCCUUCUUCUGGUUCAGCCGCCCAGCGGUUAUGUGGGGUACGGGAAAGAUGAUCCAGCCAUGCAGGAGAGCACCAGUGGUUCUGUGAGGAUUUUACUUCAAAAUACAAAAGCUGGCAGGCUGACAGAGGCGGCCUCAGGACGGACCUUCUGGCUACUGACCGUUUUGCUGUGGUUUUCCCGGAUUGUGUGUAGGUGUGAGAUCAACCAUGAGUUCCGUUGCAGUUUUGACCCAAGAGAGUUUUGCUGAACACCGAAGUGGGCUGGUUCCGCAACAAAUCAAAGUUGCCACUCUAAAUUCAGAAGAGGAGAGCGACCCUCCAACCUACAAGGAUGCCUUCCCUCCACU
rnacentral:lncRNA from 1 species